AAGAUCGUGGGGGGAGUGGGCGUGGUAAGAGGUAGGGCUCAGGCGUUGAUCGUAUUGAAUGGGCGGUAAGCGGGCGGGGGGGGGUGUGUGAGUCGGGUGUGAAAUCGCGGGGCUUAACCUGGGAACUGGAGUAGAUACUGGCGGACUAGAAUGCGGUAGAGGGUGGCGGAACUCCGGGUGUAGAGGUGAAAUGCGUAGAUAUCCGGAAGAACACCGAUGGCGAAGGCAACCACCUGGGCCUGCAUUGACGCUGAGGUACGAAAGCGUGGGGAGCAAACAGGAUUAGAUACCCCAGUAGUC
rnacentral:rRNA from 1 species